rnacentral:tRNA from 1 species
AGCUCCAUAGCGUAGUGGUUAGCAUGUCUGCUUUACAUGCAGAAGGUCCUGGGUUCCCGCCCCAGUUGGAGCCA